rnacentral:lncRNA from 1 species
CCUCUGAAUCUCAUAUCUGCUAAACUUGCACCACAGCCAUGGCUGGAAUGGUAAAGUUGAAACCUACAGGCAUCAGGCACGGCCAAAGCUAACAAGAGAACAGAGCAAUAGGUUUCUUAUUCUGAAGAGUGUCACAUUCCAGGCCUACCAUGAGCCUUUUUUCUGGAGGAAUUGCAAGUUAACAUUUGUCAAUGGGAUUGUUCUGAGAAGCUGGAUUAUUUGCCAACCACCUUCUGCCCAAGGAAGGAUUUUAAACACUAGCCCAGACACAGAUCAUAUCCCAACACAAACAUACCAUCUGAUUAUCUUCACACUCCAUGCUGGCCCUGUCCCCAGUGAAAGGGCAGAAGGAAAACUUCAGGAAAGCAAGGUAACAUCAUAGCAGCUGAGAUUCAAAAUGAACAUUACAGUAAGUCUGUCAUUGGAACUGCAGAUC